rnacentral:rRNA from 1 species
GGUCCUAAGGUAGCGAAAUUCCUUGUCGGGUAAGUUCCGACCUGCACGAAUGGCGUAAUGAUGGCCAGGCUGUCUCCACCCGAGACUCAGUGAAAUUGAACUCGCUGUGAAGAUGCAGUGUACCCGCGGCAAGACGGAAAGACCCCGUGAACCUUUACUAUAGCUUGACACUGAACAUUGAGCCUUGAUGUGUAGGAUAGGUGGGAGGCUUUGAAGCGUGGACGCCAGUCUGCGUGGAGCCAACCUUGAAAUACCACCCUUUAAUGUUUGAUGUUCUAACGUUGGCCCCUUAUCGGGGUUGCGGACAGUGUCUGGUGGGUAGUUUGACUGGGGCGGUCUCCUCCCAAAGCGUAACGGAGGAGCACGAAGGUUAGCUAAUCCUGGUCGGACAUCAGGAGGUUAGUGCAAUGGCAUAAGCUAGCUUGACUGCGAGCGUGACGGCGCGAGCAGGUGCGAAAGCAGGUCAUAGUGAUCCGGUGGUUCUGAAU